UACGUAGGGUGCAAGCGUUGUCCGGAAUUAUUGGGCGUAAAGAGCUCGUAGGCGGUCUGUCACGUCGGCUGUGAAAUCCCGAGGCUCAACCUCGGGUCUGCAGUCGAUACGGGCAAACUAGAGUAUUGCAGGGGAGACUGGAAUUCCUGGUGUAGCGGUGAAAUGCGCAGAUAUCAGGAGGAACACCGGUGGCGAAGGCGGGUCUCUGGGCAAUAACUGACGCUGAGGAGCGAAAGCAUGGGGAUCAAACAGG
rnacentral:rRNA from 1 species